AGAGUUUGAUGGUGGCUCAGGAUGAACGCUAGCUACAGGCUUAACACAUGCAAGUCGAGGGGCAGCAUUUUAGUUUGCUUGCAAACUAAAGAUGGCGACCGGCGCACGGGUGAGUAACACGUAUCCAACCUGCCGAUAACUCGGGGAUAGCCUUUCGAAAGAAAGAUUAAUAUCCGAUGGUAUAUUAAAACCGCAUGGUUUUACUAUUAAAGAAUUUCGGUUAUCGAUGGGGAUGCGUUCCAUUAGUUUGUUGGCGGGGUAACGGCCCACCAAGACUACGAUGGAUAGGGGUUCUGAGAGGAAGGUCCCCCACAUUGGAACUGAGACACGGUCCAAACUCCUACGGGAGGCAGCAGUGAGGAAUAUUGGUCAAUGGACGAGAGUCUGAACCAGCCAAGUAGCGUGAAGGAUGACUGCCCUAUGGGUUGUAAACUUCUUUUAUAUGGGAAUAAAGUAUUCCACGUGUGGAAUUUUGUAUGUACCAUAUGAAUAAGGAUCGGCUAACUCCGUGCCAGCAGCCGCGGUAAUACGGAGGAUCCGAGCGUUAUCCGGAUUUAUUGGGUUUAAAGGGAGCGUAGGUGGAUUGUUAAGUCAGUUGUGAAAGUUUGCGGCUCAACCGUAAAAUUGCAGUUGAAACUGGCAGUCUUGAGUACAGUAGAGGUGGGCGGAAUUCGUGGUGUAGCGGUGAAAUGCUUAGAUAUCACGAAGAACUCCGAUUGCGAAGGCAGCUCACUAGACUGCAACUGACACUGAUGCUCGAAAGUGUGGGUAUCAAACAGGAUUAGAUACCCUGGUAGUCCACACAGUAAACGAUGAAUACUCGCUGUUUGCGAUAUACAGUAAGCGGCC
rnacentral:rRNA from 1 species